GAAGCGGCAAAAGCUCAAAUUUGAAAUCUGGCGUCUUCGACGUCCGAGUUGUAAUUUGAAGAAGGCGACUUUGUAGCUGGUCCUUGUCUAUGUUCCUUGGAACAGGACGUCAUAGAGGGUGAGAAUCCCGUGUGGCGAGGAUCCCAGUUAUUUGUAAAGUGCUUUCGACGAGUCGAGUUGUUUGGGAAUGCAGCUCUAAGUGGGUGGUAAAUUCCAUCUAAAGCUAAAUAUUGGCGAGAGACCGAUAGCGAACAAGUACAGUGAUGGAAAGAUGAAAAGAACUUUGAAAAGAGAGUGAAAAAGUACGUGAAAUUGUUGAAAGGGAAGGGCAUUUGAUCAGACAUGGCGUUUGCUUCGGCUUUCGCUGGGCCAGCAUCAGUUUUAGCGGUUGGAUAAAUCCUCGGGAAUGUGGCUCUGCUUCGGUAGAGUGUUAUAGCCCGUGGGAAUACAGCCAGCUGGGACUGAGGAUUGCGACUUUUGUCAAGGAUGCUGGCGUAAUGGUUAAAUGCCGCCCGUCU
rnacentral:rRNA from 1 species